rnacentral:rRNA from 1 species
CAUGAAGCUGGAAUCGCUAGUAAUCGCGGAUCAGAAUGCCGCGAUGAAUACGUUCCCGGGUCUUGUACACACCGCCCGUCACACCAUGGGAGUCGGAAAUGCCCGAAGUCUGUGACCCAACCGGAAGGAAGGAGCAGCCGAAGGCAGGUCUGAUGACUGGGGUGAAGUCGUAACAAGGUAUC